ensembl:lncRNA
CAGAAAGCUGUGCCGUGUUGCAUUUUGGGGUGGGAUGGAACGAUGAGCCGACGCAUCUCCCGUAGCCCAUGUGCAGAUCCCGUGCCUCUGCAGCAUUGCUUGAUGCCGGAUGGGGGAUCUGCUAACUCACACGUAAUGCAUCAAAAUGCAAACAGCGCACCAGCUGUAUUCCAUACGAUCCCUCUGCAUUCUUUUGCAAUGCUGAGAGCACAAACGGGGAACUAAAGGAAACUUUUGAGACCCUUUUCAAGUCAGUCAGGGGAGGAAGCUUCACGUUCAAACUGUGCUCUUCAUGUUCUUGAAGGGGCAGAGCAACGUGUGAAAGAGAGGCUGCGAUUCGACCCAGAGCCACAUGGACGCCCUCCCAGCUGGCAUCCCCAGGCAGCACUGUGCUGCCCUUGGUGCCGACUGCCUCCUGGACUCCAAGGACCAUCUCCUGGCUCACAGCUGGGCAGGCUCCCACUCGGAGCUGCUGCACUGGGCAGGCUCGCUGGCAGCAGCACUCACCUGCACCUAAGUGAGAGCACGAGGCCUGGAUGCCUGCUAGACCUGGUUGGCCCUGGCAGGAGGCAGGAUGGACACGACUGUCAGCCUUUGUCUGCAGGCAGGUGCACCGUGGUCACGCUGAUGGAGAGAGUGAGGGAGGGUGUAUAUAGGUUUGUAGGGGGUAUACUGGGGGCGUGUUCCAUGCUGAGAGGGCUGAUUCAGUUGCAUAAAUGCCAGCAGCCUGCUGCUUUCACAGAGAUUGCCUCCCAGACGUGUUCUCUGGAGAGAGGGUGGACAGCAUAGGGUGAUGGAGAUGCUGACUAUCCCUUCCUGAGGUCAGGACCCUCUCCUUAUCCAGCAGUGGUACAGAUGGGGUAGCAGCAGCAGCAGCAAGGGUCUCCCUGGGUUCUGCUCCUGUUCAGCCUCUAAGGUCACAGUGGGCUGGGUGUGAGAGGCAGGGACCUGACCAGACACAUCCAGCUGUGGCAAAUGCAUCCCUGUGUGGUUCCCCAAGAAGGGCCAUGUAGGGUUUUAUUCGCAGCCCAGCCCGGGCUCAGCAUGGAGAACAGGGCUGGCAGGGCUGCACUGGGGAGGGAAUGGAGUAACCUACAGCUGGGGAAGCUGAGGCAGGGGUCUGAAAUGCCAUGUGCCCUCUGCAGAGUUCUUCCAGGGCGUAGCAGUGCCAUGUGCAGGGCUUCAGCCCUAUUGUCAGGGGCUCUGAGUGCUGCAUGGAAAAGAAGUUCUUUUAAGGGCAAGAAUUUGUCUCCAGGGGUCUUCAUGCCAGCACCGUGGCCUUUCCUUUCCUCUGUGCACCCCAUGCUUCUGCUUGUGUGCUUAGCUCCUGCCUGGUCUGGUGUGGAGGCCUUUGUGGACCACGGGGAUGGCCUGUGAUAGUAAGAAAAUGGGUCCAUCAAAUGCAAGUGGGUCCAUUUUGUCCAUGGAGAUGCGUUGUCUUUCCUCCCGAGGCCUGCUGGGGGUCACCCCCGCUUGGUGCAGCACAGGAUCUCAGGCAUUUUCUGUAAAAGCUCUCUGCUAUCAUCAGCAUUAACAGCUGGGAGCUGCAAAGUGCUCUGGGAUUGCCACGAAGUGUAGUGGAAGUGUGAGAGCUGAUGAAUCUGUUGCCCAGGAGGGAGAUUGUAGAGCUGCUCAUUUACCUUUGUUAGGCAGCAAGCGGCUUGUCUGGGCACAGCCAUGCCGUGGUGAAGAGUUGAAGGGCCCCAGCAGUGCCUGCUGACAGCUCCAGCACAACAGGGGUGGGGGAUUUCCCUGCAGCAGCCCCAAACCAUGGAUCCAGAGCAGUGCUUGUGAGAACCCUGGGAUGCACUCCUGACUCGUGGAAUGAACCUCUGCCGUGCAAUGGGGAGGGCUUGCCGAGGUAUCUCCUGCAACUCACUACCCAAAGGAGAGAGGCACCACAUACUUCUCCCUGUCUGAUCUGUAAGAUGCCACUGCAGUCAUUAUGGCUUUUUUGUCCUGUUUUUUUUUUUUUGCUCUUAAUGUGUGAAUGCACUCCGUUCAAGGCUAAGCUUUCCAUUAAGCCACAUAAAGUUGAAAUGCCCACGGAAAGCAAAACGGCCACCUGCCCUAAGCUAAAAACCUGAGGCUGUGCAGAUUCUCCUCCCAGUCUCUACAGAGCAGCUCUCACUGCUGCUGGGUUGGUCGGUGUGGGUCCGGUGGCAGCGUGGUGUCCUUGGAGCCCAUCUGGUGCUGCUCCCACUGCCAUUCCCCGUGAGUGCUGGGCAUGUGCCAGAGGGCUGCAAGUGAGGGCUGCUGUGUGGUGUUCCAUCACAUCCACACUUCUUGGUGUCCCCAUGGUGUGAGCCCGGCCGGUGUGGCCUCGGGGCUCCUCCUGAGGCAGCGGCGGUCUAAAAACACUGAUGAAAAGCUGAUUAAUCCUUGUAAGUGAGCAGCUAUAGCUCCUCUCCAGAACCGAAGAGAUUACCACUGAUUUGUCAUCCUGAUUGUUUCAGCGAGAGGUGCAAUUAGUUGCUCUAAUUUAGCUUCGCUGCUCGCUGAGUGGCAUGACAACUGAGAUGCAAUCAGGAGCUCCGCACGCAACGCAGCCACCGAUGGGUGCAGCUGUGCCCACCACCAUUUUGCACACUGAGGGUGGGCCCAAAAUGGUGGAGUGCCGUGUGCUCAUAUGUGUGUGUGUGUGUGUGUGUGUGUGUGUGUGUUCGACUCUGAGACCAGCAGGGCUCCCUAUGGAGCAGGCUCUAAGGCACGGGGUCGUGGCUGAGCACCCUGGAGGAUGCUGAGCACACCAUUGCCAGGUGCAAUAAAAUUAAUACUAGCUACGGGAGAGGCUGCACAUUUUGCUCAAGGCCCUGUCUGAGUCCAGUUGUUGGUUUGGAAGAGGAGCCGAGCUGCCAAGGGAAGCCCGGAGUGUGGGGCACCCGAUGGGCUGGCGCUCCCACUCCAGGCAGAGGGGAGGGAACGCAGCGGUUGUAUGUCCAUGUCCUGCAAAACAAAAGAAUCUAAAAUGAACAAAAUAAA